AUUAUAUAUCUCGCGUUUUGAAAUUGUAAUUUCGGUUUGUGUAAUAUAUUAUAUGUGAUGCUGCUGGUGUUCGCAGGUACGCCCAAUUUGCUAGAUCGCGGGAUUCAAAAUGUGCGGCCCUCUUCAUCAUAAUUGAUGGCGAUAAUAACAGACAUACCUAAGUGAUAAACGAGAAAAACCAACAAGCUGCUGCAUGUAAACAAUGGACGGGCCAGCAGAUUCUCUCACACAAGAGUGAGAGGAAGGCGCAGCAGAUUAUUUUAUUGCAGCAGCCCGGCGAGCGAGCGGCGGUGCGAACAAAAAAUUAAUCGCAAAAUCUACUUGGUAGUAAUUUUGAAGCAUCAGCAAUAAAAGCGGCACCUAAAACUUUUACACACAUACACUCUUUGCGUUCUUUAUAUACACCCAGUUCGUGAAUUUCCAAGAGCAAAUUUGCACUUUGUGGAUUAAAUUGUUGUGAAACUGGAAAACAUUUCCUGUCUGCAGCGAUAAAGGGGCAGUGGCUGGA